UGUAAAAGGAAAGCCCUGAUAUUCCCACUCU
rnacentral:piRNA from 1 species